ACAGCAGCCGCCGCGGGAAUACGGAGGGUGCAAGCGUUAAUCGGAAUUACUGGGCGUAAAGCGCACGCAGGCGGUCUGACAAGUCAGAUGUGAAAUCCCCGGGCUUAACCUGGGAACUGCAUUUGAAACUGUCAGGCUGGAGUCUUGUAGAGGGGGGUGGAAUUCCAGGUGUAGCGGUGAAAUGCGUAGAGAUCUGGAGGAAUACCGGUGGCGAAGGCGGCCCCCUGGACAAAGACUGACGCUCAGGUGCGAAAGCGUGGGGAGCAAACAGGAUUAGAUACCCCGGUAGUCCCUGUCUCUUAUAC
rnacentral:rRNA from 1 species